GCACUGCUAAACAAUCUCUACUUCUGAUAUUGCUCGUUACUUGGAGUACUUUGUACAAAUGAACCAAUUCGUACUUGUCUAAAAAAAACAAUCAUUACAAUAGUAGGAGAAAAAUAGGCACCAAAUCAAAUAAAUGGACAAGACCUCGAACCUCAGUUGAUAACUAGAUAGAUCGCCAGACCAAACCAGCAUAAAAUUUAUGGACAAAAGAGCGAAAAGAUAUAUGCAGCAAUGACAACACUUUUCACAAAAGCAUCAUACAAGCGCAGAGUCUUCCUCGGCCGCUGCAUAUUAUAAGUGAGCGGCAUCACCUAGCUCUCUUAAGAAAUCUUCUGUAUCUCUGUUUGUGGGACCUAUCAAGCAGCAGCAUUAGUCCAACAUAGCUCCCGCACAAGCCAAAUGGGUACCUGCGAACGAUGCCCAGCAAUGGUUACAUACACAAAGAUACUCCCUCCAUCCCAAAAUAAGUGUCCCAGCUUUAGUAUAACUUUAGUAAGUGUCACUAAAGUUAUACUAAAGCUGACACACUUAUUUUGGGACUGAGGGAGUACAAGGUAACUGUUAACAAAUUGAGCAAGAUUUGACAACUCACUUGAUGCGAUCUAAUUUCUUUUGCCGGGAAAAG
rnacentral:lncRNA from 1 species